rnacentral:tRNA from 1 species
CCCUUGCUCGUCUGGUGGCUAGGAUUCCUGGUUCUCAUCCAGGCUACCAAGGUUCAAAUCCUGGGCAGAGAA